rnacentral:tRNA from 1 species
GCCUGGGUGACUCAGUAGGUUGAGUGUCCGACUUCAGCUCAGGUCAUGAUCUUUCGGUCUGUGGGUUCAAGCCCCACGUCAGGCU